rnacentral:rRNA from 1 species
GCUGAACUUAAGCAUAUCAAUAAGCGGAGAA